AACCCCAGGAAUGGGCAAAGAGAUACUUUGUUGGUGGUGUUCUUAUAUCAGUCAGGGAUAGAGAAAACAGCAGUCCUUUGUUCGUCCUACCUUGAUGUUUGGCUUGAUGGCCAAAGCUGUCUUAUGCCUAGGACUCAAAA